rnacentral:rRNA from 1 species
GACAGAGGCCUCAAGCGUUAGGCGGAAUCACUGGGCUUAAAGCGUGUGUAGGCGGAUCGUUAAGUGUCUUGUGAAAUCCCACGGCUCACCCGUGGAACUGCUGGGCAUACUGGCGAUCUUGGGCCAACUAGGGGCAACCGGAACAAAUGGUGGAGCGGUGAAAUGCGUAGAUAUCAUUUGGAACGCCAAUGGUGAAAACAGGUAGCUGGGAGUGUGCUGACACUGAGACACGAAAGCCAGGGGAGCAAACGGG